GCCUCACUCUCGGGGCGCCCCGUGCUGCAAAGCACCAUGGCUGAGAUGCUGAAAAGCAGACCCGUUGAACCUGAUCCGGCUAGUAUCGGCGUAGGGAAGAGUUCGACAUCACCG
rnacentral:ncRNA from 2 species